AGGAACCGGAAGUCAGUGGCGGAAGACUGAUCCGUGGGAGCCUCGCCGAAGAUGAACGUCCUUGGUCUCCUCUUAGCGGGAGGUAAGGUGUCUGCGACACCAGGGAGGUGGAGAUGUUUUCCAGUUCCAUUAGAGUCAUCCUUAUUCCAGACCUUACGUAAUUCCUGCUGUCGGAAAAAAACCACUGCACCAAAGAAAAUUAUUCCCCAUGUUGAUUUUUCUGAUGAAAAUACAAAGGAGUCUGGAAAGGCACUUGACAAGCUCUUCUCUUCAGAACAGCAGGCUUCCAUCUUGCAUGUGUUGAAUACAGCAUCUAAUAAAGAACUUGAAGCUUUCAAAUUGCUUCGGGGAAGAAAGUCCAUCAACAUUGUAGAGCACAGAGAAAAGUUUGGGCCAUUUCAGAAUUUGGAGAGUUUAAUGAACGUACCCUUGUUCCGGUAUAAAACUACCCUUAAAGUUUGUAAGUCCAUUCUUUCACCAGAGACUGGAGGGAAAAAAAAAAAGUUACCGGAAAACCAGCUCUUGAGAAAGCUCAUCAAACCGGAAGUAGGAAGAGAGAGACUUAAGGCAGUUAAUAGUAUCGUAUCCAUUGUUUCUGGUACUCGGAGAAUUGCCUGGGCUCACCUUGAUCGGAAAUUGGCAGUGCUGGACUGGCAGCAAAAUGAAUGUUGCCGAUUGAUGAAAGGAACAUACCCAUCAUCUGUCUAUUUAGAAGAGAUUUCUUCAGUCAUUUCAAAGAUGCCCAAAGCUGACUUCUAUGUUCUGGAAAAAACAGGGCCUUCAAUUCAGAACUCAUCUCUGUUUCCUGUACUGUUACAUUUUCAUAUCGUGGAAGCCAUGCUGUAUGCCUUAUUAAAUAAGACUUUUGCCCAGGAUGGCCAACAUCAGGUGCUAAGCAUGAAUCGAAAUGCUGUGGGGAAGCACUUUGAACUGAUGAUUGGUGACACACGGACUAGUGGAAAAGAAAUAGUGAAGCAGCUUCUCUCAGAGUCUGUCCUGAAAGAAGAGCCGCGGGUGUUCUUCCCACCAGAUAAGAUAGUCCGCUACAGACAGCUGUUCUCAUCUACUGAACAGUACAGAGCAGAAGAGUUAUAUGAUUCAUUAUUACAAGCUGUUGCCUUCUAUGAAUUAGCAGUUUUUAACACUGAAUCUUGAAAUCUGAGGUUAGUAUGUUACGUGCUCUAAUGUUGUAUUAAUUUUAUAUAGUAGCGCUAAAGUUGUGAAACCAACUGUUUGGAACAUCCAUGUUAAUGGAGUUAACGCGUUUGAGUGUUUUUAGAUGUUUAAUGUCAGACUUUUGGCUACUGAAUGAUUUACACAAUAAUAAACCAAGGCUAAAUCAGUAAAUAAUGAGAUUUUGUACCUUUUAGGUUUAAGUGUUAAAAAAUAAGAUGCCCUCUAAACAGCCAAAACAAGAAACAAAGUUACCUUCUUUCAAAAGCAAAUACCAUCUGUACUAAAGGAUUUGCAUUAUUAUAUUGUUAAAAUAGGGAAUAACGAGCUUUCUGGAUGGUGCUCAUCGCGGGAGUAAAGCUAAAUAUAAUAGAUAACACAACUUGCGGAAUCCUCUUCUUACUGUGGACGAAACCUGUAAGAUAUAGCCUAUAUCCAAGCCUAUACAAUAUCCAUGUUUACCCAGAUGAUUACACCUGGAACUCCCAUUUAAAUAUCGCAGUCUUUUAGCUUUAGCCUUUAAUUGAAUCAAUACACUAUCAAUACAAGAAAGGUUGAACAAAUAAGUGGUAAAAAAUUUUGUGAAUAGGUAUACAUUUGUAUUAUUCAACUACAAAAUUAGGAUCCUUAGCUUUUAAGGUGAGAAUAUAAUUUACUAGAUAAUAUAAUUGAAUAUUAAGCUAAUAUAUAAUUUAAACCCUUGAAAUAGGAACCUAUUUUUAAAGAUACCUGAUUAUCUGAUUGUAAAAAUUUUAAGUACAAUAUGGUUUUUUAAAAUCUUGUAAUUAAAAGUAUAUACUUUCUCCAAAAAUAUAACCUUAACUGGAAAUGGCUAUCAUGUAGAAAUCCUACAGUAGAAUCAUUCUUUGUUAUAGUUUUAAUGAAUAGCAGUUUGUCCAAAAUAUUUAUAUUAACAUCAUUAAUCUUUAUGAAAUAAAACAUCAAUGGUAUAAAAAUACAAGAAAAAUAUACAAGACAAAUAAGGAGUUGUCAAAAUAUACAAGAUAUCACAUUUGUAUGGUUGCUAAAAAACAUUUAUGAAAACUACAAUUCAUAAUCUUGAUUUCACCUUGUCAGCAUUCAGUGAUUCACAUGGUAAAAUACACUGGAUGAGUAAACUCAAAUUUAUCAGAAGAUCUUACUUUUUGAAAAAUGAUGUGUAAUUUCUUCCCUAGGAAGUUUACUUACGUAUUAUAUAUGCUAUUUUGUAUUUCUGAUUGUGUAAACUUAUUUUUUAAAAGAUUAUCACCUAGGUGAUUCACAUUCACAACUUGACAGAGGGCUGACACUUGGUUGGAGAGAGAUGGAUUAAGAAUAACAGGAAAGGGGAAAAUUAUGGAUUAGUUUAACAUUGAAACACCUUUAGAAAUAUCUUAGUGAACUCUACCUUCUAGAAACAGCUCACACAAGUUAAAAAAAAAA